rnacentral:rRNA from 1 species
GAUGAACGCUGGCGGCGUGCUUAACACAUGCAAGUCGAACGAUCGCAAGAUAGUGGCGCACGGGUGAGGAACACGUAGCUAACCUGCCUUCGGGUCUGGGAUAACGUCGCGAAAGCGACGCUAAGACCGGAUAAGCUCCCGGGUUGUAGAGACCUGAGAGAAAAGGGGCAAGACGCCUGAAGAGGGGGCUGCGGCGCAUCAGCUAGUUGGUGGGGUAAAAGCCUACCAAGGCAACGACGCGUAAGGGGUCUGAGAGGAUGAUCCCUCACACUGGGACUGAGACACGGCCCAGACUCCUACGGGAGGCAGCAGUGAGGAAUAUUGCACAAUGGGGGCAACCCUGAUGCAGCGACGCCGCGUGGGUGAUGACGGCCUUC